AGUGAAUAGAUACCCGGGUAGUCCACGCUGUAAACGAUGAGUGCUGGACGUUGGCGGGUUUACCUGCCGGUGUCGCAGCUAAACGCGUUAAGCACUCCGCCUGGGGAGUACGGCCGCAAGGUUAAAACUCAAAGGAAUUGACGGGGGCCCGCACAAGCGGUGGAGCAUGUGGUUUAAUUCGACGCAACGCGCAGAACCUUACCAGCCCUUGACAUGGGCGGACGGGGUCCAGAGAUGGACUCUUUCUCGCAAGAGACCACUACACAGGUGCUGCAUGGCUGUCGUCAGCUCGUGUCGUGA
rnacentral:rRNA from 1 species